rnacentral:piRNA from 1 species
UGUUCAGUGGGANCUUAACCAUUGGAAGC